rnacentral:rRNA from 1 species
UACAGAGGUCCCGAGCGUUGUUCGGAUUCACUGGGCGUAAAGGGUGCGUAGGUGGCUUGGAAAGUUUGAUGUGAAAGCUCAGGGCUUAACCCUGAAAUGGCAUUGAAUACUGCUGAGCUGGAGGUUUGGAGGGGGGACUGGAAUUCUUGGUGUAGCAGUGAAAUGCGUAGAUAUCAAGAGGAACACCAGUGGCGAAGGCGAGUCCCUGGACAACACCUGACACUGAUGCGCGAAAGCUAGGGGAGCAAACCGG